CAUUUAACAGUCUAGCCAAAAGAGAAACAGACAGAGAAAUAAAUUGAGCUAGACACACAGGUAAAAUAAAUGUUUAACGGUUUACUCACCUUUAAGACGGCCACCAGCCCGUAUGGGGAGAGUGAGAGAACUUAUAAAGCGAAGAAAACAAAAACAACCCACCGUUGAACCAAUUGAACAGAGUCAAGCAAGUAAAUACCAAAGCCGAGACCAUUGAGUGUGUAUGGGUUUUGGCCACAAAGCUUGAGUUAGGUAACUGGUGCUAACAAAAUAUAAAAAAACAACAACGACAGCGACAGACAAAAGGUCCAACAAAAACAGAAACAAAAAAAUAAAAUAUAAAAAUUCAAGCUGCCUCUAAAGCUGGGUGUGACUUUAAAAUACAAAUUCAGUUGCUGUUCGACACUUAAAAAAAGUAGGCAAAAAACAGAAUACGGCUAAAUUUCGAAUUGAAACGGAAAAACGGUGGAUGAAGCAGAAGUGGAAACGGGCCAAAAAAAUAUUUUGUUAAUAAUAGAAAUAAAAAAAAUAGAAAAUAGAGAAUUAAGUGUGGCAGAAUAUAAUGGAAAAAUUAUAUAACUGCAAUGAAAAUGUGUUGAUAUAAAGCUGGAAAACUAAAAAAAGAAAAACAAAAAUUCUCCACCAAGUGCCUAAAAAAUAAUUUUUAUAAAAAAAUCUGUUACAAAUUAAAAAAAGAACCAUAAAACGGAACACAUCACAACAUAUUUCACACGUACUUCCCCCUCUCUUUAAGUUCUCACACUCUCUCUCUCUCUCUGUUUGGUCAUAAGUAAAGUAAACUAAACUCCCUCUCCUUGCUGUGUUCGCUUCGUAUUUGUGAUCAUGUCCACCAGUGAUUUAAAUCAUACCGUUACUCAACAUCCUUUGCAGGAUGUUGAUUUAUCGGAACCCCCAACAAACACAUCUCCCUUUGCAAGCAAUGAAAAUAUUUCUCCAGCAACAACAACAACUGCCACAGCAGCACCUACAAAAAAUGUGAAUAAAGAAAAUUGGGUUAAAUUCGAUGACGACGUCAAUGAAGGUAUUUUAGGUACCAACAAUAAGAACACAAAACAUGAUAACGAGAAUGCAGGCAGCACUGCAACGACUGCAGUUGACGCUGCGUCAACGGCAAACAGGUUAACACCAUCACCCCUACCACCACCAACCAAUGCUAAGAGAAAUUCAGCUAACGUGGUUGCCGCUGCGGGGCCCGCGGCACGUCCACGAACUCCAACUCAAUUGGAGAGCGGCCCGAUACAACAGCUGCAUGUGGCUCAAUUGGAUGCGUCAACAUCACCUGUGCAGCAACAACAACAACAGCUGCACUCCACACGCUCUCCGUCGUCACAUUCCAUACCGGAUGUUGAUGCCCCGGCUGUAUUGACUACGGAAAGUACGCAUGUUGAUUUGAAUGCUUCCGUCAAAACAUCACCGCAACAACAACAUUACCAAAAUAAUAACCAACAACAUCACCACUACCAAAAAUCCACAAUUCCUAAUGCAGCUAAUAUCCAGGGGAAUGCAUCAGCUUCGUCUUCCAGUAACAAUGUUGUUGUUGCCAACAACAAUAACAGCCAUCACAAUCAACAACCAAAUUAUAGUAAUAAGCUUGGACCAUUGGGCGCCGGGGCACCCACACCCUCAUCAUCCUCGUCAGCAGCAGCAUCUGCGGUGGCCAAUAAUGUCACAAUCCCAGUAGAAUCUCAGCCACCAAUGCGGACAAUUGAGUUGUCAACUGGGCGGAUACGAGAAGGAUUUGCAAAUGGCGAUGUAAUUGUCACCCUUUUACCGGCUAACACAAAAUUCCCCUGGGUGACUCCGGCUAUUUUCCGUCCUGAAUUGGUACCUGAGGAGCUUAUGGCCCAAGGAUUGACCCUCACCGUUGAAGAAUAUGUCCAUGCCAUGGAGACCCUGGUCAACGAUUAUCGCUUCACCAUGUACAACAUUUGCUAUAAACGUAUCCUGGUGUGUUGGAUCCUGUUUGCAUUUACGGUCCUACUGACUCUACUCUUCUCAGGCCUCCAAGGGGUGGCCCUAUUCUCCCUCGGAGUGGGUUGGCUUUUCCUAAAUGCUGCUGCCAUAUUUUUGUGUAUGUGGGUGAAACUGCGUCUGGCUCGUGGCCUGGAAAAGUGUCUGGCCAGGGUGAAUAAACAGCUGAUUAAACAUAAAAUCCUACUGGUUUUGGAUGAUCGUGGUCGAAUUUCGUGUCAUAAAGUGAAUUUGUGUUUCUUGUAUUUCGAUUCGGGACCCUGUGUGAGUUUCCUCAAUGAAUUCCUGGAGCAUACUGAGCAAAAUGGUGGCGAGACCAUUAAGGCGGGAUGGGAGUCCAAGUUGGAUAUUGAUUUGAAUGAUAUUGUCAUACAGGGCAAUACACCCGUGAGGGUCUCAAGGAAACAGGAACGAGCCGUCCAAGUUUUUCUACGCUAUGCAUCACGCUGGGGCCGGGAAGCGAUAAGGGGUUUAGUGGAUGUCACCCCGCUGGAGCCGGGACGUCAUUGCGGACAAUUCCAGUGCCCGUGCCAAUACAUCAAAGAUCAUUUGCAGUGCAAGCCGAGAGGCAAGUUGAAAUUUUUGGAUUGUGUUUAUUGGGUGUUGGCCUCAGAACGUUAUGAAUAAGUGGAAAGUUGAAAGAGAAGGCAGGAGGGAAGAAAGAAGGAAGAAAAUGAGGGAUAAUCACCAGCAAGAGAGGGGGACUUUAUGUGUGUUUGUUGUGAAUAGUUUAGGUCAAGUAGUUUGGACUCGAGCCCCGGGAACCAUUUACAAUUGAAAUUUAGAGGAUACUGUGCAAUUAUGAAUUUUUUGUUUUAGAGAAAAGAAAAAUUCGAACCCCUUUCGUAACCCCCCCCCCACCAACACUCACACAUUAUUUAAAAAAACACCUACACUCGAAUACACAGAAAGAAAA